GACGAACGCUGGCGGCGUGCUUAACACAUGCAAGUCGAACGGAAAGGCCCUGCUUUUGUGGGGUGCUCGAGUGGCGAACGGGUGAGUAACACGUGAGUAACCUGCCCUUGACUUUGGGAUAACUUCAGGAAACUGGGGCUAAUACCGGAUAGGAGCUCCUGCUGCAUGGUGGGGGUUGGAAAGUUUCGGCGGUUGGGGAUGGACUCGCGGCUUAUCAGCUUGUUGGUGGGGUAGUGGCUUACCAAGGCUUUGACGGGUAGCCGGCCUGAGAGGGUGACCGGGCAAAAUGGGACUGAGAUAAGGCCCGGAGCCCUAAGGGAGGGAGGAGUUGGGGAUUGUGCCCCAAGGGGCGAAGGCUGGUGGAGGAACGCCGGCUGCGGGAUGACGGCCUUCGGGUUGUAAACCGCUUUCGCCUGUGACGAAGCGUGAGUGACGGUAAUGGGUAAAGAAGCACCGGCUAACUACGUG
rnacentral:rRNA from 1 species